rnacentral:rRNA from 1 species
UGCAAGUCGAGCGGUAACAGGAGUAGCUUGCUACUCGCUGACGAGCGGCGGACGGGUGAGUAACGCGUAGGAAUCUGCCUAAUAGUUGGGGAUAGCCCGGGGAAACCCGGAUUAAUACCGAAUACGCUCUACGGAGGAAAGCAGGGGAUCUUCGGACCUUGCGCCAUUAGAUGAGCCUGCGUGAGAUUAGCUAGUUGGUGAGGUAAUGGCUCACCAAGGCGACGAUCUCUAGCUGGUCUGAGAGGAUGAUCAGCCACACUGGGACUGAGACACGGCCCAGACCCCUACGGGAGGCAGCAGUGGGGAAUAUUGCACAAUGGGCGCAAGCCUGAUGCAGCCAUACCGCGUGUGUGAAGAAGGCCUUAGGGUUGUAAAGCACUUUCAGUAGUGAGGAAAGGGGUGUAGUUAAUACCUGCAUCCUGUGACGUUAGCUACAGAAGAAGCACCGGCUAAUUCCGUGCCAGCAGCCGCGGUAAUACGGAAGGUGCGAGCGUUAAUCGGAAUUACUGGGCGUAAAGCGCGCGUAGGUGGUUCAGUCAGUCAGAUGUGAAAGCCCCGGGCUCAACCUGGGAACUGCACCUGAUACUGCUGGACUUGAGUACGGUAGAGGGUAGUGGAAUUUCCUGUGUAGCGGUGAAAUGCGUAGAUAUAGGAAGGAACACCAGUGGCGAAGGCGACUACCUGGACCGAUACUGACACUGAGGUGCGAAAGCGUGGGGAGCAAACAGGAUUAGAUACCCUGGUAGUCCACGCCGUAAACGAUGUCUACUAGCCGUUGGGGAUUUUAUUCUUAGUGGCGCAGCUAACGCGAUAAGUAGACCGCCUGGGGAGUACGGCCGCAAGGUUAAAACUCAAAUGAAUUGACGGGGGCCCGCACAAGCGGUG